GCAUUGGUGGUUCUGUGGUAGAACUCUAGACUUCCACGUGGGAGACCUGGGUUUAAUUCCCGGCCAAUGGC
rnacentral:tRNA from 1 species